rnacentral:lncRNA from 1 species
AUCAAAUUAUGUGAAUACUUCUCUUUAUCUCUUCAUUUAUUAACACAGUGGUCUUGGAAGGUUUGCAAAUCUGGGAGUGGGGAGAAGCGAGAUUGUCUGGGGGAAUCGCCAGCAUUAAGUACUCCAGGAGACAGAUAAUAAAUGUUACGGGAUGCAAUGGGCAUUGGACAGCCCCUCAUGAAUAAUUCUUCCACCCAAAAUACCAACAUUUCUCCCUUUUAGAAACUCUGAGCUACUCAUCCACAAAAUGCAAGUAAUGAAUUUCUUCCACAACAAAUUAAAGGUAUACUUUGCCCAGUCAGGGUGCAUAAACCAUUUGUAAAAUUCCAUUCCAGUUCAAUCCCAACUGGAAUUAUUUUUGCAUUCAUUGGUCCUCCUCCUUUUUUUUUUUUUUUUGCCAAGUUUAAAUACAAUCAAACUGUUCACUUAAUCUCACUUUUUUGGAGCAAAUCUAUGGCAAUUACUCUUCCAUGACUAGGAAAUAGGAAGGAGGGGAUCACAUUAAAAAAACAGUUUGUUCUGUUCCUGGCAGGAGCUAUGUACCAUCCAAAAAAGAUUCAUAGAGUACAGAUGUCCCUAGGCUAAACCGUUGGCUGUGUUGGUCCAAGGUUUGAUAAAUGUCUCUCUCAGAAGUCACACUGAUUGCUUUG